UAUCAAUUAUUGUUCCACAUUUUUUCUGUCCUGUAUGGUUACUCACCUUUGCCUAUACCCAAAAGUUCCAAAUGUCAUCAACUCUAUGAUUGACAUCUCUCCCAUCAGCACCUUCCUAUCUAUUUCCACUCUCAUCAUCUGGGUCUUAAAUACUAACAGAGCUGUACUCAUAUCCACGUCUGCAUCCCCUCUCAUCUGUGUUAUUGCAGUUGCCUCCUAAUUGAUCCUUCCUCCUCCAGUCUGCAGCAGUCUUUCUUGUACACUGUCUGAUUCAUUUUCUUAAAGCAAUGUUUCUCAGUGAGGUUCUCCUGCUUCAAAACUUCCAGUGGCUCUUGAUUACCAGUAGAAUUAUGUCCAGGGGUUUCAGUUUGAUGCUGGAGAUUCUCCAUGAUCACAUCUUUUAUGUUGAGUUUCUCUUCUGAGUUUUGUUCAUUUCUCUCCCCCAGACCCUGUCGGCCCUUUGCAGCAACCCCAGGCAGGUUAUGAAUGAUCAGCUAGCUCAUCCUGAACCAAUGCUUUAAUUCAAGGGCAACACAGAUUAGGUUGUUUGGUUUAGUACUUCUGGCCUUCACUGCAUGAGAUGUAAGGUGAAGGAGGGAAAAAAUAUAACAGAGCAAAGAUGAGUGAUGUGAAAAGAUGUAGAUUUUUUAAAAAAUCACUCCACGUUGAAGCUAUCCUGAUGUAAACAAGAGUGCUGGGGAAGUCAUCCUCCACAGGCCAGAGGAGGGAGGUGUGGGCUCCCAGUGGGCCAUGCCUGUGACUUCAAAGAUACGAAUGUACCAGUUGGCAAUAAAUAUUUAUAAAAUGAGACAUAGGUAUUUAGACCAUUAGCCUGCCACAUAGUCCUUCUGCACAAUAAAACACAAAGCUUAAAUCAUGAUAAAAACAGGCAGAACAAAUAGUAGUGGACCUAAAUUGAGGCUCGGGUAAAUGUUCAGAUUUAUUUUAAAACACGGAUCUGUGCACAUGGGCAUUAUAUACAAAACAAGAUUUUCAAAUGGCCACAACUGUUUUGCAUUCAUCUCCCUUUGUUUCUUUUUUAUUUUUUACAAAAGGAAAAGGUUUUCUCUAAACUCAUGGUCUCUUUUCUUUUGUCUUAUAACACUUCAUCAUAUCCAAUAUGACUUGGGAUAUCUUUGCCUUGUCAAGUCAUGUGAUUCAUUUGGUUAAAUGAAAGAAAGAGGCACUUGACUCUCAGGAGGCACAUUUGUUUCAUCAAACCAAAUUUUUAAACUUUCUUCAAAGUGUAAGCUAAGCAAUUUCCAGCUAUCUGUCUAAUGUAGAGCCUUUCUUCUCCACAGAUCUUCCUUUAAAUUUACCUACCACAAUCACAAACCAAUAAGCUUCAGGAAUGAACAUACGCUGUUAAGUUCAUAGAAAGGUUUAGGUGAAAUGUAGGAUUUAUUCCAAAUUCUGGCCUUUCUGAAGUCCUUGCUGAUUAUAAACUAAUGGUUGCAUUAUCUUUACUUUGAGACCGUGGGAAACAACUAGAUAAUGAGACAAACUCACUUAAGUGAAGCAGCUAGUGCCUGACAGAGGUUUAAUGUGCUAUACCUUCCAAAUGAAAGAGACUGCCUUCCCAGGCACCCUCAGCAUCUCUACCUCUGAGGCAUGGCUGCAGAUUGGGGGGUCUCCCAGUCUGUGGCACUGUCCAAACCCUGUCACUGAGACCACCUUUGUAAAAAUUAUGACAGUGAGAAAAUUUUGACCGUGAAAGAGAUCUGCCAUAACUAACUCUAUCUUACCUUUAACCUCCAAAUUUCCCUUGGUCAUUUCUGAGUGUGGGACAAACUAAUUUUGGGAGAAAUUUAGUUUAUACUUUAAAUGACAAUUGUUCUUCCCCAAACUAAACUUCCUUUAUAAAACUAAUAAAAGACCAAAAGUUUAGGAGGAUGAGAGGGGCCUGAAUUCUGCUAAGAUGUUGGUGGAUUACCAGCCAUUGUUAUGGAGGUCAUGAGAUUUUUUAACUUCUCCAAGUACUCCUAUAAAUAACAUCACUAUUGUAUUAGGUUGGUGCAAAAAUAGUUGUGAUUUUUGCCAUAAUGGCUAAAACCACAAUUACUUUUGCACUUAUCUAAUAGAGCCUAAGACUGGCCUUUUGAGAUGUCUUUUCAGACUGUGGAUUUCUGAUGACUGGAUGGCUCCACUCAGACCCAUGACUCAUGACAACCAUUUUUCACACCCCUACCAAUCAGCAGCACCCAUUCUCUAGCCCCUGCCCACCAAACUAUCUUUAAAAACCUCUAGCCUUCACAUUUCUAGAGAGGCUGAUCUGAGUAAUAAUACAACGGCAGUCUCCUGUUUAACCAUCUCUACAUGUAUUAAACUCUUUCUCUAUUGCAAUUCUCUUGUCUUAAUAAAUCAGCUGUAUCUGGGAAGUGGCAGAGAAGAACCCAUCAGGCAGUUACAUCAUUUCAGCAAGGACUUUAAUGGAUAGAUGUGGGGAUUCUGGAGUAUAAGCUCCAGAAUCACAGGAUAUGGCAUGGGAAAAUGAACAUACAGCUUAGAGUUUAGUGGUAAAAGAUUGAGUUUCACUUAAAUGAACUUGAACCAGUGAUUUGGAAUUUCUGGCCUUUAGUUCUCUCACUUAUAAAAUGGGAACAAUAAUGAGUUCUCAGUGUUUUUGUGAGGAUUCACUGUGGAAGGUCUAUGCCCUCUUCUCCCUGCUGCUCUCAUUGCAGGAAGGAACAGCUUCAGCCAUAGGUGACAGUGGCACACAUCUCACUGAAGACAGAGAAGGACAAGUUGAAAACAUGGAUUUUUGUGUUGUACCAUGUCUUAUGAUGGUAUCAUUCAACAAUUUUUAAAAUUAGAUUUUGGAAAACAUUUUUUUAUCUUCUACCUCAUUGUAUUCUUUCAACCGCCAAGUGAAGCCAGGUAAAAGAAUUAUGCUCGCCAGCAAAAAAUGAGAUACACAUGCAAGAAUUGUCCACAGCCACAUUGCUAUUUUGUUUAGAAGCCUGUCAAGAAACUUCUUCAUGUACUCCUUUAUGUAAUUCAAUAGAAUUACAAAUUCUACUGGCAAAGCCCCUUUCAAUUGAAUAAGAGGAAUUAAGAAAUUUCCAGGCAAGAAACCUUUGAUGGUGGCAUCCAUUAAAAGUUUUAGGGAUGCAAGAAGUUUUCCAUAAAUAAACUUAUUAUUUUUAAUUUUCAGUUGAGCCUAGCUUAAAAAAUCUUUGUAAGAGAACAUGAAAGAAGAAUAAGUCUAGUUUCGAUACAUUUUAUGUUUGACCAGAAGGGCUCCUCAGUUCAAUUACUUUGUUUCCAGGUCAGAAUUUCCAGGUCAGGCUGAUUGUGGCACCCAUCAAUCAAUAUUUGUAGCCCUAAUCUGAAGCUCACUGGAUACCAUUUUCAUACAUUGACAAUGGGUAAUUGUAACAUCUUGAAAAUGUAUAUUUUAAAGAUGAGUAUGAUUGAAAUCUCUUCCAUUUCUAUUUCUCCUUCCUGCAGUACUUUAAGCCUCACUGCCAAUUUACAGAGCACAGAAUAAAACAGAAGAGAAUAAAAUGAUAUGGGUUGCAGCUUCCCAGUUGUAACGAGCAAAAGGAUAGGAGCCUCAGACUCUUAGUUCUGAACCCUGCCUGGGUUCCUCCCCAGCUCUGUGACUUUGACCAAGUUAUUUGAUGUCAUGAGCUUCAAUUUCCUCAUAUACAAGUAGAAAACACUUGAAAUUUCAACAAUGUACAGCAGGUUGUCAGAUUUAGCAGGUAUCCAAAGGAAUUGUGAAACUUCACUGAAGCGAAUGCUCUGUUCUUUUAUCCAUGAGGGGCCAUUUCUGGUGACCUACUUAUACAUUUGGGAUGUGUUAUAGAAUGAAUGCCAACUGGCCUGCCGACCAAGCUGGAAGAUACACACACCCAGAGGACUCUAUGGUAGCACUGGGCAUAAAAAACAUGCCUCCUGGAAGUGUGCCUGCCAGCAUUCUCCGGUUAUUUUAUAAGACAUGGCCUUUCUUGAAUGUAUCUACAGUUCAGAGAAAAUUCAGCCUGCAACUGGAACCCUGAAUUCACUCAGGAAAUGUGGCAGUAAUAUGUGAGACAUAUUUCUGGUUCUGAGCCAGCCUCGUAGGCACAGUAACACCAGGGACUUAAGGUUGAAAAUGUGGUUUCAAUAAGAAUGUUCUCAAGGAAAUGUGUGUAUUGGAGAUAAUUUAGAUCUACGUGGAGACUUGCACAGACCUCUACAAAGCCCUAGGAAGAAUAUCCGAGAUCUGUAUAACAUAAAAACUGUGAGUCUAGUAAAAAGCUCAGAUUCCUUAUUAGAGCCUUUCCUUCUUUGCUCAGUAUUACAGGCUGCCAGAUAGUGUAGUUUCUCUGGAAAAUCUUGAUUUUUAUUAAGGGCUUAUCUAGAACAAAUUAUAUGACAGAUAAAAAAAUUGAAUCAUGAAAUUUUUAACUACUAAGUAGCUUUAGAGUAUAUGUAAAUCAUAAAUUAUUUUAUAUACACAUACACACACACUCUUCACUUAUAAAACACAAAUCAGUAAAUAAUCUUCUCCCUUAUAAAGAACACUAAAAAUUAGUCUAUAACUUCCUGGGGCAAAGCAGAAAUUUUCACAUUUAAAAGGUUUGUGUUAGCUCUCAUAGCUUUAAAAACACAAAACAGACAAACAAAACACUCCAGAUGGUUUUGAGGGGUGUACACUACAAAGCUGAGACAGUAAUAAGAAUCUUUAUCCAGGUGAGGUACAGCACAUAUUCUAUCAACGUUUUUGCCAUUUUCUGUGAGUUUAGGUUUGGCACAUGCGAUCAGAACUCAAUGCCUUUUCGUGUUGCUGUUUUUGGGAAAGAGAAGGAUCUGAUUGUAGUUAGAAGUUUGGCUCCAGAGCAAUGAGAUGUGUUGAACCUCAGAAAAUCUCAGACAGGAAGAUUAGUUCCUCUAUAAGUAUUCAAAGGUUUAUGGACACAAAGCUCAUCUGAACUCUCUAAACCUAUGGAGUCUGCCAAGUUGGCUAGAAUAACUGACAGGAUUGGGCUUUUUCCCAAGCCUUCCAUCACUUUCACUCUGAUCCCUGCCAGAAAUCAAACAAGAAAAAGCCUUUCUUGUCGUGUUUUGACACCCCCUGCUUUAGUCCCUGCUAUAAACUCGGCAUCCAAAUAUUUCAGCAUAUCAACUGAAGGUUGAUAAUAUACAUGGGCAAAGGUUCAAAGGGUGGCUAAGAGCCUGAAAAAGGGUCACUCAACCUUACAUAAAUAACAUACUCCGAGCAUACAUUACAAAGUGACUGAUUCCAGGUCCAGCCAUGUUACCGGAGUGUUUUCCUAUAGCCUGGAUGUCUCCAGUAGCACUAUGCUGGGUGUAAUGUCCAGUUUAAUAGGCAUACUCUAUGGCUGCAAAAAAAUACUAUCUGUAAUGGAAAAUUUUCCUUCUAUGUGAAAGAAAAAGUUUUAGAAAACAAAAACCAGCAUUCAGUAAAUCGGUUAGGUAUGAAUAUUUCCCUAGUCAUGGUAUAUAUUGGUCAUAGAAAAAGCUAACAUUUUUUUCUUUCUUUUUUAUUGAGAUGGGAUCUGCUAAGUUGCCUAGGCUGGUCUUAAGCCCCUGGGGCUCAAAUGAUAUUCCUGUGUAGCUGAGAUUACAGGUGCACAGCACUGCACCCUGCUUUAACAUUUCAUUCUUUAAUUAAACUUUUAACACAUUUUAUACACACUGAUUUCUCAUGUGCACUGCAGCUAUAUUUUAUUUCCUUCCCACUUAAUAUUUGACCUUAGUUUAUCUAAUCUGACAGCUUAAUCCAUAGUUUAAGGAGCUAUAUCUCUGAUUUACCUAAAGGUAAAUAUUGUCAUCAGUUGCUUCUACCACAAGAAUAUAUUGGACUUAAUAUUAUUUCCAUUAUGUUACAAACUAAUGGAUCUCUGCCUUAUCUAGGGUAUUCAGCACCAAGACAGCUAUGGACCACCAUAUAUACACAAUGCAACAUUAUGACCAAAGAUCCCUUUUCAAGUGUUUUCAAAACUGCAGAUUAUAACUGAUAUACUCAUAAAGUCAGUUUAUUGGGUGACAAACAGACAUUUUGAAAGUGAAAUAGAGUAACCUAAACUAGGAUAGAAAACAUCAGAGUUCAUCCUAUGUAGCAUGAGUAACCAAGCAACUGGUGUCAUUAUAGAAUUCUGCAGUAGUUACGUAUGUGUGUGCAUAUAUCCUAGUCAUCAUGUAGAAUGUGUUCUUUCCCAAGAAUCACAGUCCAAAAGUUUGAGAGCCAUUGAUCUAGUGAGGCAUCUAGCUACUCUUGGUUUAAAUUUUUAUUUAUGUCUAUUCUCACCACAGAGGACAGAGUGGGGGACCUUUUCAAAUCUAAGUCAGUCCAGGUUUGCUCAUUUGCUCAGAACCCACCAAUGACUUCCCCCUUUAACUCCCAGGCACUUCUGAGCCAGAAGCUCUCCACUGUCCCCUUCAUGUGCUCAGUCCCAGUCAUGAAUGACUCCACUCUGGUCCUCAAAUGCAUCGGGUGUGAGCCUGCCUCAGCCCUAGCCCAGGUUGUUCUCUUGGCUGGGAUUAUCUUUUCCAAGAUCUGGUUCUUUCUCUCACAUCUUUAAAUCUUGCUUUAAUAUCUCUUUGUGUGUGAGGCCUCCCCUGACUAUCCUAUUUGAAAUUGUGACCAAUGCCCCUGGCUAGCCCUAUGCACCCCCUUCCUCUGCCCUAUUUUUUCAGUGACACUUACCACCAUCCUGUAUGAUUGACUUGUUGUGACAUUUAGUCUCUGUGUCUCUCAACUAAGAAGUGAACUCCAGAAAGACAAGAAUUUCUUCUGUUCAUGCCUAUAGACCUUUGAUACUUAAACCUGUGCAUUCUACAAAGUAAGCACUUAAUUUCUAUUUGUGGAAUUCACUGCAUUUAGGGAAGAACUGCAUUAAAAUCCAUGAACUGGAGCACUUUUCUUUGCCUGCAGGCAAUUGGAGGUGUUAGAGAUCUUCAAACUGUGCCUAAUUCCCAUUAAUUCCAGCUCAUCCCUCUAUUCUGCUAUGGAGUGGAAUUCAUGAGUGUCCGCCGAUGGCUCAUGCUAAGCCGAGAGACUGACUAGAUGAAAGGCACAUAUCAUAGCAAAUAAAUUCACACUUUCUGAUCACCGACAGUGUCCUUUUGUGCUUUAGUCCCCACUGACUUUUGUAGUCUCAUUCCUCAUUUCCCCUGGCUCUUCACAGACUCCACCUGCGUACCCAGAACCUAUUUUCUAGACCCAGUGCAGCAACUGUAGUUGUCUGUCUACACUGUCUUCAUGAUUUCAUACUUUUAAACAUACUAUUCCCAUUGCCUGGUGGGAAUGAGAUUUUCUUGCCCUUUGCCAUUUGCAGAACUUUUAUUUAUUUAUCUAGAAUAGAAACUUUCCCUAAUUUGUGGACCAUUUUCUGGCCUGCCAUCCAGGUGUUCUUGGUGCUCAGGAGACAGCCUGGUUGAGUAGAGAGAGGACAAGGCAAGACGAACCAAACUUUGCUGUAUACUAGCUUUGUGAACUUAGCAAAGUACUUUUGCCUCAGUUUUCUCACCUGUUGAGUGGGAGAAUAGGGCUAUUUUAUGGGGCUGUCUUAAACUUAUUGAAAUGGCAUUGCCAAGCCUGAUGCCAGUGUGUGGCAAUGGUGGGGGGAUGUGUCACUCUCCUCUCCCCUCUUCUGAAACACUGUGUGCACAUCCCUGUCACCACUCAUCCACUCUGGGCAGUUAGUGGUUUAUUUCUCAGUCUCCUAUAAUUGACUGAAGUUCCUGAAAACCAUGACCAGGUUCUACUCAUGUUUGCAUUGCAGGACGCAGCAAAGCUCCAGGCAUAGCACAGGUGCUCAGUCGAUGUUUGUGUAAUAGAAAGGUGAUGACAAUGAAAUUAAUAAUUAUAAAUGGCUAGCAUUUAUUAAGGGCUAUUGAGUCAGUAUGUCACAUGGAUCACCUCUUGUAUUCCUCACAACAAUUCUGCAAGCCUGUGUUCCUUCUUAUUCUCCCCAUCUUACAGAUGAAGUAACUAAUUCUCAGAGAGUUUAAAUAACUUGCCCAAAGGCACAGAGCUCUGAUGGAAUGGAGCUGGAGUUUAAAGCCAGUCAGUGCACUGAAUGAGCUUCAAACUAUAGACCACACCUCUGACUGGAAUUUUCUUAUUUCAGGGGUAAGCCCUUGGUCAAUCCUGAUGCUAUUUCCAUGGUUCCCCACUCUACAUACAAAACAAUCCUGCUGGACAGGCCCAGACAUCUGGCCAAUGGGAACUGGACAAAGCUCCAUCUGGAAGCCAUCAGCACCUCUCACGGGUCAGCUGUGAGAGAUUUUAUUUCAAAUGACCCAAUACAUUUCCUCUGCUUCCCCCUCACAGACAAAUUUGUUGGCUGCACUGUUCUGAUAGUUUAGGGGUAAAGGCCCCACUUAAAUGUCAACUUAAUCUCAAAUCAGUGAGUCCCCAAAUGCUAUUUGCUAUUGUUGGGGCGUAUGUUUCCAUUUUCCAACCAAAUCUACUUCAGAGGCACUCAGAUGGCUUCCAUGGUUUCCAGGUACUAUAGAUCUGAGAGCUGAGAGCUCAGACUGGUCCUAAUUAUGCAUUUUUUUUUCUAUUCAUCUAAACAGCUUAAGGUGGAUUGCCUUAUUGCACACCACUUUUCUGCUUUCAAGAUUAAGAAUUUGAUGGCACAUAUUCCCUCUGCUUCCUAAAACUGACCAUGGGCCUGAAAGUCAGAGAGUCAGAGAUGACCAUGAAUCCCUUGUAGACAAUAUUAAUCACAUCCUUAUACUUCACACUUCACUGGAGAGCAAAAUGAAGGUGGUGGGGCAAGUGGAGCCAUAAUGAAGUAUUUGAUUCCUAUUCCACUGUCAUAACUCAUAGUUAUCAACCCAGCCAGAAAAUCACAACUGAAUACUUAAUAAAACGCAUUCAGAUUCUUUACCCUCAAGAUUCAGAGACUUAAAAAUCAUCAAAGUACACAAACUCCUUAUUCUACUCUUAACAGUAACACUUGUCUUGAUUCUUAUAUUUUAAUAUUCAAAAAUACUUUUUUCAGGAAACAAAACAUCAGAAUCAAAGAUGAAUUUCCUAAGCACCCAGGGAAGCAUCCCUCAAAAUUUCAAAAAUCUUUCUGAUAUAAUCAGGAAGGAAAGCUUUGAGACCAAACACUCUGUCUAUGCAACAACAUACAGUUACAAUAGAAAAUUCAUGUUUAUUUUUCACAUGACUUCUUUUGCUAAUGAAAGCACACAUUUUCCUAAAGCCCUCUUACCCAAAGAAUGUUGUGGCUGCAGUUUUCUUGUAAAAUAUAAUAUGAUUUUUUAAUUAAAAAGUUUUAAAUUUUGCAUACACAUAUACACACACACACCUUGGUUUAUCUCUCCAAAAUCACAUCCUAGAAGUGGAUUUGUGAAUCAAGACAUAUGCACACUUAAGAAAGCACAUCUUUAAUCAAAUGGCCCUCCAGGAAAAUUGUACCAAUCUAUGCAAACAAUAGGAAAUGAACUCCAAUAUUUGAAAUGAGAGAAAUAGUUACAUGGAUAAAUUAUAUUCAAAACAAACAAUAUUUAACACAUAUCUACCAUGUACAACUCCAACUUGUAAGACAAUAGGGUCUAGUUAUCUUGGUUUAACUUUAGAGCUUAAUGGCAUGGGGUGGUUUGUAUUCUCUUGCUUCCCAGAAAAAAGCACUAAGUGUGAUAGGAUCAAUGGUUGCGAUUGCAGGUGUAAGCUGGGACUAAAACUUUCAUCCUCUGUGAUACCCUCCUUAUGCAUCCUGAUUUUCUAGGCCAGUAUAUUUGAUGAUUUCUGGAUAAUCAAAAAUUAUUGAGCAAAUUUAAUGGAAAAAUAUCAUGACUGGUGAAUUUCAGGCUAAAAAAAUAAAGAUAUGUGAUUCCUAUAUAAAAUACCUUGGUAUGUCAGCUUUGUAGGCUUAUAGAAAAUAGUGACUCUCAUUUUAUUCAUUCAGUAGAUAUUUAUUGAGUGCCUACUAGGUAUCAAACACUGUGCUACAGGCUUGAGAUCCAGUGAUGAGCUACAUAACUAUUGUUCAUAGAGUCCGCAUCCAGGUAGCUAUGGAAUCACAAAUGUACCAAUUGCUAUGAAGUACUGUGUGUUAUGACAGGGAAAAAUAGGGGAAUUAGAGCAGAUAAAGAGUAGGGACAUUUCUGGAUAAGUGUCUUUUGAAGGAAGACGAAUUAACCAGAUCAAAGAUGGGAGUUCUGGCAGUUCCUUAAAAGUUUAAUUUUGAGUUACAAUAUGACCUGGCAAUUCCACUCCUAUGUAUGUACCCAAGAAAAAUAAAAACACACCUGCACAAAAUCUUGUACCUGAAAGUUCAUAGCAGUAUUAUUCAUAACAGCUAAAAAGUAAACACAGUUAAUGAAGUGAUAAAUACCAUGUGUUAUUUCUAUACAAUGGAAUAUUAUUUGGUAAUAAAAAGACAUAUACUAUUGAUACAUGAUACAAUGUGGAUAAACCUCAAAAACACUAUGCUAAAUGAAAGAAGCCAGACACAAAGGCCAUGUAUUAUACAGUCCCUUUUAUAUUAAUUGUCUAUGAUAGACAAAUCUGUAAAGACAAAGUAUAAUAGUAGUUGCCUGAGCUUGAGAUGAGGAGGUUGGGGGAAAAUGGAGAGUGACUGCCAAUGGAUACAGAAUUUCUUUUGGGGAUGAUGAAAAUGUUUCAGCAUGGACUCUAAUGAUGGCUUGCACAGCUCUGUGAAUACACUAAAAACCGCUGAAUUUUACAUUUUGAGUGGAUAUAUUGUAUGAGAUGUGAAUUAUAUCUCAAUAAAGCUGUAAUAUUAUAAAAAAAGGAAAGGAAAAAAAGGAGCUACUUCGAGAGAUUCAUUAAUCACAUGUAAGUCCAUUAGUGGAAGCCCGUGAAGAAAGGAGUGGGGGUUGGUUUCCUCUGCCUUGGGCUCCCUGGAAACUCAUUUUCCCAUGGAAAAAAUGAGAAUAAAACUCAUCAAAUUUUACAUCAGUCAAGUCACUUUAUUAUGUGUCAUUUUAGCUGCCAAAAAACACAGGUCGGGCUAACAUGUAAUCAUUGAUCAGCGGACCUUGUUUCUUAUAUGCCUCUCCCUCAUUUUCUGUUUAUAUUAGAUCAUAGCCACAGUGGAGGUUAAGGCGGAGUUACAGGACUUUAAAAUGUACUAAAGUUGUCAGUGAACCUUCUAGCAUACAGUAAAGGCCUGAGUUUUCCUUUGAGUUUUUGUUAAGUUAGUUACUGCCAUGUACGUCAUGGUCAGCAAGCAAUAGUGGCUGAAUAUUGAACCGGGUUUUUUCUAAAGUGAUGAAAGAUCCUCAAGCCAUUGUUGAGUUUUUAAUUUUUUUCGGAUAGUUUAUCCAUUUAACAACCAAGUAUAAUGCUGGGAGGUACAAUUGUACUAAGAAAUUUGGUCCCAGGAGGGGAGAUCCUGGGAAAGAUCCUGGGGAGAUCCUCCAAAAUACAAAGCAAUGGACUAUGGAUAUGAAAUUGCUACAGUCCAAGCAUUUUGGAGGAAAACAGAAGGUCCUUCUAACAGUAGCAAAACUUUUUUGGAUUCUUUUAAAUUUAUAUGCACUGACAUAGGUCAUGGAUUUUGAAUGACUUGUUCAAUCACUGGCAUGAGAUAGGACUGUUCUAAGGAGCUGGAGGUUAUCCUUGCCAAGAUCUCAGUGGGAUAUGGCUCUGUAUUUGAGGUUGAAGUAGAUUCCCUUUGAACUGUCCUAGGAUUUUUCUUUUUUCUUUAUGCAGUUUUUUUUAAAGAAGAGAAAUGUAAAUUGCUUUUCCUUAUGCCUUGAAAAACUUAUUCAAAUAAACUGGAAGGAAAUAUACCAUAAUUUAAAUAGUGGUUAUUUAUAGUUUACAAUAACUUGUUUUGAAAUUUUCUGCAAUGAAGUUUUAUUACAUCUGGGUCAGAGAAAAAAAAUAUGUGCCCUUGAAUUUCUCUAGGAAAGUCAAUUGUUUAUUUGCUUCUUAAUUCAAGAUAGCAUCUGGAAUUCUAGUUGCUCUAAUGCCCUCAGUUUUCUCUUUAUUUAUUACAUCAUACAGCAUGGGUUUUGGAGUCAAACAAACUAAGGUUUAAAUCUCUCCUUUGGCUGACAGAAGAGAACUAAUGUAAGAUGCUGCCUCUUGAUGCCAAAACCAACUCUGGAGAUGAAACAAAAGCAGGACAGGAGUUGAUUGUUCUCAGAUCUUUAAAACUGAAAAAUUCAGGGAGAGACGAAUAUGGAAAGGAAAAGAAACAGCAGGCAGUAGAAGUGGAUCAAGUACCCGAGGGAAGGAAAAUUAGUGGGAAUUCUGCCUCAAGGGGUGCAAAACAGCAGCUGUGGCAGCUGGGGUGAACAGAGAACAUUAAGGUCAGUCUUGCCUUCCUUCCACCCCAGGUCCUUACGGCAGAGAAAAGGUUGAUCUUUCUCAGGCAAAUGUAAGGGCAAGUUCCCUUAGGGAUAAGGGAAAUGGAAGGAGGUGGGCCUAGGUUGUAACUUUCUAGGUUUCUCACUUGAACUAUACCCCCACAGUGAAACUACUCUGUAUGGCAUUAUAGUAAUGAACGCAUGUCGUUAUGCACUUGUCCAAACCCACAGAGUACACAGCACCAAUGGUGAACCCUAAUAUAAACUCUGAAGGGUGGGUGAUAAUGACGUGUCAGUGUAGGUCCAUCAGCUGCAAAUGGACCACUGUGUGCCUGAUAGCAGGGAAGGCUGUGUAUGUGUGGGAACAGGCAGGAUACGGAAACUCUCUAUACUUUCUGCUCCACUUUGUUUGAACCUCAAACUGCUCUAAAAAGUAACGUUUACUAGUUUUAAAAGACAUAAGGGUUUAUUCAAUAAUUUGAAUAUUGUUUAAUAUAAAAUUUAUCAAUUUACCCUCC